AUGCUUGUCUCAAAGAUUAAGCCAUGCACGUCUGAGAAUAAAGAGUUUUCUCUGAAUCUGCGAAUGGCUCAUUAUAUCAGUUAUAGUUUAUUUGAUAGUCCUUUACUACUUGGAUAACCGUAGUAAUUCUAGAGCUAAUACAUGCAUCAACUCCCAACUGCUUGUCGGACGGGAUGUAUUUAUUAGAUAGAAACCAAUGCGGGGCAACCCGGUAUUGUGGUGAAUCAUGAUAACUUUGCGGAUCGCUAGCUUCGGCCAGCGACGAAUCAUUCAAGUUUCUGCCCUAUCAGCUUUGGAUGGUAGGGUAUUGGCCUACCAUGGCUCCAACGGGUAACGGGGAAUA
rnacentral:rRNA from 1 species